GGAGAACGGAAUGACGUCAUCGCUUGGGAGCUGCUGCAGGAUGGAGUGGAAAGCUGCUGCUGAUGGCAUUGUUUUUGUGGCAGCAAGCUGAAUGACAGAUCCUCACUACAAAGAUACCCCUUUGGCCCCCGUGUAGGCCUCCUUGGUUCGGGUGUUUCACCAUGCCAGCACAGCGCCAUGAGUCCUGGAUGCAUGCUGCUGUUUGUGUUUGGCUUUGUUGGCGGGGCGGUGGUCAUUAAUUCUGCUAUCUUAGUAUCUCUCUCUGUUUUGCUGCUUGUGCACUUUUCUAUUUCUACCGGUGUGCCAGCUCUGACGCAGAACCUACCAAGGAUACUCAGAAAAGAACGCCCUAUAUCAUUAGGAAUUUUCCCAUUACCUACUGGAGAUGGAUUGCUUACACCUGAUGCUCAGAAAGGAGGAGAGACCCCUGGAUCUGAGCAAUGGAAAUUUCAGGAAUUAAGUCAACCACGUUCUCAUACCAGCCUGAAGGUCAGCAAUAGUCCUGAACCUCAGAAGGCUGUAGAACAGGAGGUGAGAAUGGUGCUUCUUAACAUUUUGCAAAAAGUAUACUAAAGUGAUUAACUAUUGAUUACUUCCUCAACUGCUAUUCUCAAGACAUCAGAUGCUCAGCUUGGAAGACUAUUGUUGUAAUUCACUGAAAUAUAAAAGAAAAUUAUUUCCACUGUAGUGGUUGUCAGGGCUUUACUGCAAUCUGUAAUUUAUUCCUUCCCCAAAGUAAGCAUUUUUAAAUAAAGGAAAGAAAAUAUAAGUAAAUUCUGUGAAAUUCAGCCUGUUUGCAUUUAUCCAGCUCUAUGUAAUGGUAUACUUUCCAGAAAUACCUUCUUCAGGGCAUAAUGUAUGUAACUUGUAUUUGUCCUGAAUGUGGCCUAGUGUGUCAUCUUACAGUGGACUGCUUCCUUAGUUUAAUAGAGUUCUUCAUCUCCAAUCAGGGCACCAUCCAGCUUUAUUCAUCAAACAUCUGUUAAGAGCCUACUAUGCGCCAGGUGUGGUGGCUCAUGCCUGAAAUCCCAGCACUCUGCCGAGGCAGGCGGAUCACUUGGUCAGGAGUAGGAGUUCAAGACCAGCAUGGCCAGUAUGGUGAAACCUUGUCUCUACUAAAAAUACAAAAAUCAGCCAGGCAUGGUGGCAGACACCUGUAAUCCCAGGUACUUAGGAGUCUGAGGCAGGAGAAUUGCUUGAACCCGGGAGGUGGAGGUUGCAGUGAGCUAAGAUGGUGCCACUGCCCUCCAGCCUGGGCAACACAGCGAGACUCCAUCUCAAAAAAAAAAAAAAAAAAAAAA
rnacentral:sRNA from 1 species